UACGAAGGAUGCAAGCGUUAUCCGGAUUUAUUGGGUUUAAAGGGUGCGUAGGAGGGCAGGUAAGUCAGUGGUGAAAUCCCCGAGCUUAACUUGGGAACUGCCGUUGAUACUAUCUGUCUUGAAUACCGUGGAGGUGAGCGGAAUAUGUCAUGUAGCGGUGAAAUGCUUAGAUAUGACAUAGAACACCAAUUGCGAAGGCAGCUCGCUACACGAAUAUUGACUCUGAGGCACGAAAGCGUGGGGAUCAAACAGG
rnacentral:rRNA from 1 species